GGUCGGUCUCCCAGCCACGCUUGGGGUCGGCGCCUGCCUCACCGCCGCCCGCAGGGAGGAGCUCGUCCGCGCAGAUUUUAUCAGGGUCCAUAGUCACCAUGGUGACUAUGCAAGGCUACUCUCAUCCCUUCUCCUGAAUGCUGUCUGCAAGAGGCUUGCAGCACUCUUGGCCAGGAAGCAGAGAACAACAUAGGUAGCAACUUCUUAUGUCUUUGGAGGCUCAAAGAUGCCAUCAUGAGCUGUGCCAUCAGUAGGAGCAAAUUACAAUGGCUGCUCCAUGUCAGCAAUGGGUAAACUGUCUGUUCAGCUUCCCAGGAGCACUCAAGAGCACCUUUUAUCUUACUUUUUAGUUGGACAAAGAAAGUGCUUAGGGACAAACCAAUAUUGUGGAAGGAGAGAGAUGACAUUGGUCCUUAUAACCAAAAGAGAGGAAACAAACACUUUAGAUGUAUCAUUUAUUAGAUCAUCAUUUGGUGGGUACACACAAAGAGAGAAUUUAUCUAAUUCUGUCUUUAGCCUUUUUUCCCAAUGCUCGUCUGAAUAGGUUCUCUGUUGCGUUUGUCCUUGCUACAAUGCUGAGUUACCAAAGUUUCUAUUUCACUCAACCUCUUGUAGAUAAUAUAAGGGGUUUUAACUUUGGUCAAGGAAAUCUCUCCCUCAGCAUACAUUCUAUUACAACGUGCAUAUAUGAUAGUUCAUUACAAUUCAUAGUUGUUUAACACAAAUAUGAAUUAAACUUCCUUUUUGGAGAACUAGAAAUCAAAAAAUAUUUUAGUGGUUGCUAUAGUGUAGUUUCCAAUUUAACAAUGCAAGUCACAUGAUAAAAAAAUCAUUUACGCAUAGUUGCUAUACAAUAGGAUCUCAAAAUAUAAUUAAAAAUCUU